CAGGCCUAACACAUGCAAGUCGAACGAAGGCUUCGGCCUUAGUGGCGCACGGGUGCGUAACGCGUGGGAAUCUGCCCCUGGGUUCGGAAUAACAGUUAGAAAUGACUGCUAAUACCGGAUGAUGACGUAAGUCCAAAGAUUUAUCGCCCAGGGAUGAGCCCGCGUAGGAUUAGCUAGUUGGUGGGGUAAAGGCCUACCAAGGCGACGAUCCUUAGCUGGUCUGAGAGGAUGAUCAGCCACACUGGGACUGAGACACGGCCCAGACUCCUACGGGAGGCAGCAGUGGGGAAUAUUGGACAAUGGGCGAAAGCCUGAUCCAGCAAUGCCGCGUGAGUGAUGAAGGCCUUAGGGUUGUAAAGCUCUUUUACCCGGGAUGAUAAUGACAGGA
rnacentral:rRNA from 1 species